UAACAUAGCACACAAGACUAUCAAAGUAAAACAGCAAACAAGAGACUUUUACAAAGACACAGAGUUGACACAGAGACAUGACUGACUGGGGAGAAAUUGGGGAACAUGGAAAGAAGAAUGACUAGACAUGACACGUGGGACACAGGGGCAAGGCAAAGUAACAGAAACCUAAAGCCUAAGAAUAUAACACAAGAAGAAAACAAUAAAGAGAACCAAAAACAUACAUAAGAAUAAUCAAUGAAUAUAAAUGAACAAACACAAAACACUGGGUCACAGACUCAGUACCAUGACAGUUAAAUGUACAAUAAUAAAUACUUUAAAUCAGAUGACAAUGUAGCUGACACUGUGUUUAUUAGUGUGUGGUCAACCACAAAUCUUCAUACUGUCAUCCAUACAUGAGGUCUUAUACAAACGAUGAAAGAUAAUGAAAGAAACUGUUUAAUUGAUAUGAAAUGAUUGAAUUAUAUGAAAUAUUAUGGCUUUGUCUGCCAGAGUGUUUUUCUGUAAACUACUUUGAACUACUGGCAGUCAGUGAAGUCACUGAAAGGCAAGAUUCUAUGUUGUGUUGCCGUAGUUUCCAGAGUUUACUUAUAAAGCUCACUUACAGAAUUCAGUUAGAAAAGUCAAGCAUUUGAAGGAAUAUUAACUCAAUAUUAACUCAUUACGGUUUACAUUUUCGAGUUUAAAAGUUCUCCGAAAUUACAAUGAAAAAGGAAACAAGAAAAAUUACCACUCCAGCCGAUAAGAAAGAUUCAGGAGAUCAAGAUUGUAAGAGCAGGACUGCUAAAAGAAAGGCCAGUCCUGAAAAGAAGACCCCAAUAAAAAGGAGGAGGGUCGCUGAGCAGGCUGGUCCUUCCACCAGCUCAGAUGUGGUCAAAGGAGUGAAGCGCAAGGUUGUGCAAGAUGAAGAGGCACAACAAAGAAAGCAAAGAAGGCUAAACUUCUCGACCAUAUGAGCGGUGACAAGGAGCAAGCAUCCUCCUUGUUGGACUCUGGUAAAGACUUGAAUAACAAACAGGUGUGCGCAAAAAAUGGCAAAAGAAAGGCCGCGGGAGACAACAGAGAGUCACCCAAGAAAAAAAAAGGAAUGUGGACCAGGACAAAAAUCAGUGGCAGACCAAAAACGUGAAUUCCAAGCCAGAUAUGUGGAGGAGCACCAGCUCGGAGAAGGAGGCUGCGGAGCAGUGUUUGCUGGCUACCGGAUAGAAGAUC